UCCCACUUCCUGCAGCGCCGGUACGCCUCAAAGAUUUGUUAUUUAGUUUCGGUUUCUUUGAUCUUGUAUGUAUAAAGGAUCGGAAUUUAUCGGUGUUGAUCGUGUACCUAUUGAGCUCAAUUUGGUAGUGUAGAUGUUGGAUUGUGGUUUUUCGAUAUGUUAGGUAGCUAGAUGGAUGUUUAGAGUAAAUUUUUGGUGGAUUUGUAAUAGGUCCUGUGGCUGAGGACAUGUUUCAUUGGCAAGCGACGAUUAUGGGACCCCCUGAUAGCCCAUAUGCAGGAGGUGUAUUCCUUGUGACCAUUCAUUUCCCUCCUGAUUAUCCUUUUAAACCGCCUAAGGUGACUUGUCGAAUCUGCAAGCUUUGAUUUUUUGUGUGUGUCUGUGUGUUUAUGCUUUUCUUUGGAAUGAAGGAUGACAGUUUUUCGAUUUUCAGGUUGCAUUUAGGACUAAGGUCUUCCACCCGAAUAUCAAUAGCAAUGGAAGCAUUUGUCUUGAUAUCCUUAAAGAACAGUGGAGUCCAGCCCUUACUAUCUCUAAGGUUCGGCUUUGUUAUCUUUUCAAUCUCCCAAUGAAUUGGUCCUGACUAUCGAUAAUGUUUGCGUUCGUAUAUACUUUAGAAAUGAUAUGUAUAUGCUGCCUUGAUGCAUCAAAAUAUUAUUUGGAGAAUAGAGAGAGGGAUAUGUUUAAAUUAUUACGGAGGUCUUCCCAGAGAAGUUCUUUGUGGAACAACACAACUCAGAAGACUAUGUGUUCCAACUUGAAGUAGGGAAUUCCUAUGUAAUGAUGGAGAUGCUUGCUUGUACUUUGAAAAAUCAUGUUUUUGGAUUCUAACUUCUUUGGCAUAUAUUCAGAGUAGAAGCAGGUAGCUGUGAUGUGCAGCCUUUCUGCAAUUUGUUGUGCCAAAGUUUUGUUUUGAAGCUAGGAAAGAGUUUUAGCAAAUAUAUACUUAUUCAAUUUCCAUCUGCCUUUAUGUUUUGAGUCAUUCUUCCUAAAAAGACUUUAUAUGUAGUUAAAAAAAUAUUUGCAUAAGAUCUAAUUCAUGGCAUUUCCAGUUCUUACUCUGGAUAUUAGCCACUACAUUUGUGAUAUGACUUGAUAUGUUAUAAAGGAAAUUUGAUGUUGAUUUAGAAACUGAUUCCCCUAAGCUUUUGAGUUUUGGAAUCUAUUUCAACUUUAAAGGGGGGAUAUUUGGUGGCUAAGGAAAUGAAGAUUGUUUUUAUUUUUAUUUUUUAUUUUUAGUAUACUGAAAUUUAUCUUACUGUUGGAUCUGUAUUCACUAAGCUGUUUGUGCAUUUGAAAUCAGGUAUUGCUCUCAAUCUGCUCAUUGCUGACUGACCCAAAUCCUGAUGACCCCCUUGUACCGGAGAUCGCCCACAUGUAUAAAACUGAUCGAGCCAAGUAUGAGUCGACUGCACGUAGCUGGACUCAGAAGUAUGCAAUGGGGUGAUGAUGUCUUCUCCGGGUUUAGAAUUUGUACUUUUUGGGGACAGGGUUAAGAGUUUAAUCUGUGGGAUGAAGGAGAUCUUCGUUCUUCCUAUGUUUUGUUAUAUUACCAAAGAUAUGAAUGUGAUUUAUUUCCGGUAUCGCCAGAACUUGAUGUUCCUUCCAGCUUGGACAGUAAUCUAUCAAUUGUGGUUUGUUUACUCUUGAUCCCCCAUCCACUAAAGAGUUAUUGUUGUUUAACCAUUUCGUUUAGUUCUUACUUCUAAAACAGAACGAAAUGCAGUGCUUUGUUCUUCAACUGUUCAAGUAAACUGUCCAUGCAAUGUAGUCUAGAAAUACAAAUUGCAUGUCUCACGACCGCAAUAAAUAAAGAGAAAAGUGUGAUAGUUAUACAAGACCAUAAUAAAGAGUCACCAUAAUAGAACCCGAUAGCCAUCACACCAAACACUAGCACACGAGUGAAGCGACUAGCCGGUCUGGCUCGACCAGGGUGGUCUCGGUUCAACUGCUGAAAUCGCAAGACUUCUAUUUCAGAAGACGAUAUUCUUCGCAUAAUGUGGUUUUCAGACAACCUGAAGUCUUCCACUCCCCCUUCAACCAAUUGGCCGUAACUAUUUAGACUUCCAGUACUCGUGUCAACUCUAUCCAAAUUGCCAUAAUCUUUCAGAGAUAUCAAGCUCUUGGUAUAACUACAGAUCCUACUAACACUUCCACUCCCAAAUGCUACAACUUUCAUCGAACGACGCUUCAGGUCCAAGAAAAAGAUGUUACGGUUCCCCUGCAGAUGCUUGAAAAAUAUGCCAUGCUCCCAUUCACCACAGAUGAUAUCAUUCGACAAAAAAUUCAAACGCAGUCCAGCUAUUUCAAUACUUAGGGUGUAAUCUCUUGUCCAUAAUCUCUUAUCGUAGUCUUUCUGCACCCACAUCUCAAUAUUCAUAGUCACAUCAGUUGAUGAACAAGUAUCCACUGUGGCCAGAGAUCCUCUUAGAGUAACUAAAUGCAAGUUAGAUAACAAGUGUGAGUGUUCCCAUUUUCGUAACCUGGGAUGCGGAGACGAAUGGAACUCUUCUUUCUUGAAGUCGAAAGAAACUAUAUGGCAUGUUCUUUGAUCCAUAUCUAUUGCCAUCCAGUGCAUAUCUCCAUAAGCAGACACUUCAAAGAGUGUAAGUCAUAAUAAGGAGGAACUGAGGGUAUAUCUCGCCAUGAAGAGGUGCCCAAUUCGAAAACAUGUGUGACCAAAACUUGCUCUCCAAAACUACUCUUAUAAUCGGAACUACCAUUAGAAAUUCUGGAAACACGAACAAUUUUAUAGGUACCAGCUAAACUAUCAAAUCCCAUACCAUAGCAAUCACCCCAAAAUACAACCUUUCUAUCUCGGAUGUCACGGGGUGGAAGCCUCAGAAUUUCUCCACGGAGAGGAUUUAAAGGUCCUAGAGGGAGGGAGGGGGGGGGGGGAUAGGCCUUUUUGAAAUUUUCGUUGCCUUCUGUAUCCGAGGAUAGCAAUGACUUGUGCUAUCCCAGAAUCACAGGAUACGAGUUUGCAGAAAGUAAAUUGCAGCAAAUAAAGAAACAACACAAGGAUGUUUUUUAAUCGCAGAAACCCUGAAUGCAGGGAGAAAAACUGCGUGUCUCUAACUCUUGAGAGACAAAAACUUCCACUAAGUUGAAGUAACUUCUUACAAGAAUAAUAGUUCUAGUGAUACACUACCACAGUGCUAUCCUUCCUAGUCCCGAACUAGUCUAGACCUAUUCCCUCUCUUGUUUCUAAGUUAUUACAACAUGGGACACUUUUCGAAGCCUUGUUCGUGAAUUCAGCUAACCACUAGCAGAUUCAACCUUGAACGCUUCUUGGGUUGGUUGCACUACACAUCCCUCAUGGUAUGCAACAUGAUAUGAGUUGAUGAAAGAAGUUUUGAGUUCAAGCUCUAAGGUUUACAGUCACGAAGAAGACUUAGAGCAGCAUGAACAAUGCAAGACUAAAAACUAGACUCAAACAAAAGAAAACGCAAUAAGGCUAGUUUUCAACAACCAUUGAGCAAAGCCAAAGCUAUAGAUAUAUAUAUAUAUAUAGGCAGACAAGGCAUCAAGGAUGAUGCAAGCUGACCUCAACAUGUUUCAGGAAGGUUUGGACAGAAGUGUUUGGCUCCCAUACUGAAAGUGAUGUGUCCAAACACAGAGAUGACACAAGCAAUCUUAAUAAGACAAAUAACCCUUUCCUAAAACAUGAAUGAUUCAAACAGGGAGCAAAGAGGUUUCAAACCCUCUUACUCAGUCCAUUAGUGGACCUUGACACAGCUGAUAGCAACUGGUAUUUGAACCAUACAGGGACCAGCUUAUACAUCGGAUAACGUAUCAUGAAAUCCCAGCUGGAGCCUUGAGCAUCAAACCAUUUGGUCACGGGUUGGCAUAACAAAAGAUCUCAACCCUUUGACUGGUUUGAGCGCUAAGGCACUUCCCACAAACUCAGUUGUCCAUUUUAUAUUAAACUAAUAUAACAGACUUUGAACCUCAGGACAGCAGAAGACUCAGUACUAGGAUAGCAAGCGAAGCUGCUAACCUCUGUGAAAAACAAUGAUAUGCAGAUGCAUGUUUUACCUGAAACCAUAAGGGAUAUUAGCGCCACUUGUUCUUGAUCAGAUAACAUUAUCUCAAAGUGUUUUGCAGGAUGAAAGGAUUGCCAACUAUCCUUAUACCUUCAGGAUUAACUAAGAAGCAAUGUCCAUAAUACGUAUCUUGUAAAUGUACAUUUCUAAAGCAAAACAAGUUGUAGAAAACGAAGUCUACCUUGUAUUGGUGAUGAUCAUACUGUUCUGAUGUAAACAAGGUAAGUGCAUGUUUUUCUUUUGUCAAGGUUGUCUCGCCAUCAUACUUGAGAGAUUGCAAAGCUGCUAAUUCCUCGUAACCUUGAGGAUCUUUAAAUGUUGGAGGGUUGAAAAAUCUGGUAAAAUACAUAAGUUGAGGCACAUUAUGAGUAGAGGCCACCAGCGACCGGGUGUGCAGCGCAACGAAGGAGUGGCUGUCAACCAUGUCUAACAUUGCCUUGGACACACAUCGGAUGCAGCAGAGUGAUUCAAUUGGCAAUCUCACGAGGAUGUGCACCAAGACAUCCAAAGGUAAGUGUUUGAUAUCCACAUUCAUCACCAUAGGCUUCGCGCUGUUGUUAAUGCAGCAGCAGUCUCAUUGUCAUCUCAAUAUUCCCUAAUGAAUAGAACGUUGCAAUAACAACUCAAAAAUACAGCAAAGGAUUGAAAAAAAAAAUACUGAUUGAAAGUUUCUUCCAAACCAAAAUCUAUGAUCCCCUUCUUUUCGGUUCAAACCCUAAUUUCUUAAUUUGUAACCAAAUAUUUAUCCUUGUACUUCAGAUUCAUAACCAUUCAGUUCUUUUUGAGAAAUCCGCCGGAACUAGGAGACCAUAUUGCAUUACGAUUACCAAAUAAAAUCAGAAUGAAACAAAGUUCGAUACCGCAAUUGAAAUAGGGACAAGUUUUGACUAUUUCAUGAACAAAUCGAAAACUUGGGAUAUUUAUUUUAGUUUCAUACCUUUUCAAAUGAAAUGAUGAGAAUCUCGCCGUUGUCCGCGGCACUCCGAUAUCGUGGUGUUACUAUUCUUCUUUUCCUUGGUUCUCUUGUUGGAUUAUUGGAGUGGAGUGUGGGUACUGGAAACCGAUCGAUAAAAAAUAACUGAAACCCUAAUAUAAAUGUAACAAGUGUGUGUGGAGUGUGGAUGCUGAUGAUGAUGUAGGGUGUGAAAAACAAAAUGACGCGGCAGAGAGGAUUUUAUUUAUUUAUUUAUUAUUAUUAUUAUUUUUUAUUUUAUUUUUUUAACUGAGAAACAUACAACUGAGCAUAAUGAAGAUCUGAAAUAGAAUUUCAAAAACAUCUGAAAUUGUUCCCUAAAAAAGAUGUCCUGCUCCCCAUUUGCUUUCUACCAACGUUUAACCUGCUUGACAUUUGUAAACUGACUAAACUCACAGUCUACCAUGAUAUCAUUGGUGUAGCUUACCCCCAUUUCCUUUCCCUCGAUCGGUACCAUACACUUAUCAAACUAGUCAUACAGAAGACAAGCAAAGAUAUCAUUCCCUCCAAACAUUGAUACACAGGUAACACAGCAAAUUAAACAUUGAUACACAGGUAGCACAACAAGCCAGAAACUUGGCAACUUUGGCCAAUAAAAACAGACAAAAAGAAAAAAUUUCCCAAACACAAAGAAUCUAAAUUCAAAGAAAAAAACUAUCAAUCUCACAAUCAAAGAAGAGGAUGAAGUGAACAUGAUCAUUUACAUUAUUUAUUUUAUUUACAAUGCCUUUAUUUCAUUCUCCUGUGAGAGGAUUGUCGAGGAGGUGGUAUUAUUAUUGAAAAUGUGGAUUCAAGAUUACUCAUUUGAAUUUCAAUGUCUUCAGGUGUUCUCUAACUAGUCUAAUCAUGUCUAUAACAUAACAAGCUGAAGAUUCAAAACAAACAUCCUGACUCUAUCUUCAAUAAAGACCCAGAGGCGUGAAAACCGGCACACCCACCCACUAUUUGCUCUUAAACUUCUCUGGAAUCAGCAGUUUUCCUCUUCAACUAGUAUAGAUGAAAGAUUGAGGUUUGAACAAAACUUGGCACGGCCCAUAAGAAUCUGAUUAGCAUGCUUCCGCUUCUCGUUAUUGUGAGCAGUACCAGAUUAGAAAAAUACCAGAUUUCUGGAUGUAUAGCAGCCAGGGUUGUAAAAGUCUGCGGUCCCCGUCAUCAUCUUCAAUGGCCGUCAUCUUCACAAUGACGGCUCUUCUAGUUCCGACUACUUAACGUAACUUGCAAUCCUAACCUAAUAUGGAUUAUAAUCCCAGCUGUACAAUAACGCAAUUCCUUUGAAAAAAACAGAGUAUUUGUUCUUGCAAUAAGACAUGUAAAGAGCUAGUAAUUGCUGGAGACGGAGUUGGGGGCAGAAAGACUUUAAUAACCGGAAGAUCAGAUUGUGGGAAUAGAAGUGUUGGAAAUUUGAAAUGGGAAAUGGAAAGGACUGCAUGAUAAAAUUUGUAGACUUGACGAUUUAAGGAUGUUUAAGAUUUUUCUAAGCAAAAUUGAGUUUUCUUUUCAUCCUGGACUUCUGGUCUGGUAAAGCUGCCAUGCAUGGCUAAUAGUAAAACAAGGUGGAGAUUAUAUAGCAGAAGAUUACACCAAAUCCUGGUAGUUGGCACAACUCAAGUGGACAGUCAACAAGUGCAGGGAUCUGAGAGUCUGAGUGGUCAAAACUGCUAAACUGCAUGAAAUUUGUGCUUGUUUUAUUUGAUGUCCUAGCUUUGUUACAAAAAUCAGACUGACAAUUUGUUACGUACAAGAUAAUAGUAUCCAAAACAUACAAUGGUACACUUUUGACUACAUAUAAUUUUCAAAGUCGUAUCAAGAGAAAUGUACAAAAACAUAUCUGAAACAAAUUAACAAGAAUCAAAAGAAUGUAAUCGAAAAAUAAUACAAAAAAUUAGAAGCCUAGAUUGAUCUGAUAGGGCUACUGCUCUUUCAAGCCAAACGGAAUCCGGGAGGGCUUGUCGUUGCACCCGGCCAAUAAGCCCAGCCGAUCAAGCUGCUCAGACCUCCGCUCAGCCAAGCCAAAGUUACGUACUUUCCGACGGUGUCUGCGAUGCGUUCGAUACGGGGUUCCGAUAACGGCGUGCCGUUGUCCCUAACGAACUCGUCGUUGACGGGAAGGGGUCUGUCGGGGACGGUGUAUUUGCCGACGGGGAGGCCCAUGUCGGCGCGGUGUCGAAGAGAUGACGUGACGGAUCCAGAGCGGUUGACGACGCCGUUUCUGCCCUUGAUUUUGGAAGCCAUGAUGCUCAGUCUUGCUGCCAUUUACGAUCAAGCGAAGAGCCGAAGAUGAUUAUUGAUCGAGUUUGAGUCGAACCAAAUGGUGUAUAAGGAUAAUAUGUGAGGUAACUUUCUAAGUUUUAGUAGAAUUGAAUGGAAGUCUUAUAUAAGCUGUAACCAUGACUAGAAAUCAAAUUCAGUGUAGAACUAGGAAAUAGUAAUCCUAUAGGAAACAAGUUCUUAUUGAAACAAGAAACCUAAUCCUACAACGUACAUUUAGGAAAAUAAACCUAAGAAUGGUAGGAAAGUGAUGCUAAAAACGACUUAUGCUUACGUGACUCGUUAGUCAACAAGUAAGGGGAUUUGGUUGGUCAACAACUACUCAAAUCUGCCAAAAUUGCAGGAAAUCUCUGCACUUCCAAGAUUUGAUGCUUUUUAGAUGAAGACGAGCCAUAAGCCCGUAUAUUUCUGCACAAUCUGCAUCAAAAUAUCAAUAACCAUUGGUUUGCCUUGACCGAAGCCUCGAAAGGGUUAAUGAAGAACUUAGCAGUGUAGCUUUAAUAUCUCAACUCAAGCUAGAGGUUCUGUUCAAAACUUCAAAUAAGCUUCAUUUUAUGUCUUCAGUAAAUUAUAGUAUGGUAUAUAUAUGCAUCUAAUAAGUUGUUAACUGUUUGACAAAUUUGUUGUUUACAAGUGAAGGUAAGAUUUGUAACGCAGGACUGCAGGCAUGUUUAUUCUUAAAGCAGGUUAGACGGUUACACCACAGACUCCACAGGUAUUCAAGUUUCUGACUAUGACAGAUGAAGAACCAUUUUAUGGUCGUGCAUGUCAGCAUGAGUAAUCAAUAAAUCAAACUCGUAUAAUAACUUUACAGGAAUAUUGAUGCAUGCCUUGAUGAAGAUUAGAACCACACAUAUUCAAAUAACUACAUGUACAAUCAAAUUACAAGUACUAUUGCUUACUUUGAAUCCUAGUUUUCCAACGUCAAAGCCCCUAACCUCAAACUGUUGGUGAACUUGAUAUUUUCAAUUUUAGUCCAAGCGGUUGUGGAUUUGAGUGCACUAAAAAGAAAGUAAAACCACAGAGUAGUUUCUAUUAUAGCCAAUUUCAGAAUUGCUAGCUAUAUCAUUCUUAACUAUGAUAAUCAUCUUCGUUGACAUUCUCCUGAUUGUCUCUCCAUGCAUCAUCUUUAGCAGCUUUGAAGGUGAUAAUUCGCUUCCCCAUAAGUUGGCAUGGUGGACGGGACUUGGGGACUGGAAAGUCAUCUGAGGUCUGAGGAUAGGGAUUCCAGAAACGUUUGUACGACUGGCUAUGCAUAUGUAGAGAACGUCACUGAGUUUCGGGAAGAGGGCGUUGCAAGUUCUUCGUGAGGUGUAGAGAUGCAGAACCAAUUGAAACCCCAGGAUCAGGCAUGUAGAGUUGCUCGUAACUUGAUAUCCUAGCUUAAUAAUGUAGAGUUUUUCAUGACGUUUUUGAAACGUCGUUGAAAGGAUCAGGAAACCACAACUCCAGUAAAGACGGCUCAUUAAAGUCCUAUAUAUCAUGACGUUUUUGGAACGUCAUUGAAAGUUUUUGUGUAGUAGCGAUCGCAGUACAAGAUGGUAUGAAACUUUGCAAACAUGGUACUGGCUAUGGCGGUUCUAUACAAAGCAAGUUAAACUGUUAAAGGGUGUGAUGGCCGGAGAUGGAUAGUUAAUUUGAAGGCGCAAAAAGAAUGUUUAACCGAAUGAUCAGACUGUGAGAAUAGGAGUAUUGAGAUUGGAAAUGGAAAAGUGAAGGUGGAGAUUACACGACGAUAAGAGAAGGGACUUUGAAAUUUCAAGCAAAAGUUGGUUUACGUUUAAGUUUGUGUUUCUGAUAUGGUGCCAUGGGAAAGAGAAGAACAGGUGCAGAUAUUGUAAACGGUUUUACAGAAAGCUUAACGUGGCGAAAUCCUAGUGGCUGGUCAAUGAUCAGAACUGCAAACCGGAGUUGUACUGUGAGUCAAAGCUGCAACACUGCAGGAUAAGAUUCCCCAGGAUUUGAUGCCUAGCUCUUAGCUAGGGUUUUGGGGAACUUAUAAUUGCCCUUUUUCUUUUUCUUUGAAUUAUGUUUGGUGUCUGGUGAACUUAUCGGUGUAGCUACUAAUCCAAAUAGUUGUUCAAUUGAUCGAUUAGCUCAGUUGUAAACAAGUUUCAAUUCCCCUUCUUUACCGGAUACAUUAUUCUAGCUACUACAAGAUGGUUUCUAUUCAAAAACAUGGUUUCUCUUUUUUUUAUUUUUUAUUUUUAUUUUUUAUUUUUUUUAUGAACCAAAGAGAAAUUGAUCGUAAUGUAAAGGAACUUAUGGAGGUAAAGAAAUAAGGAAUUGUUUAUGUCUGUGGGAUAAAGUGCUACAAAUUCUUAGCACAUACUGAAAAAGGGGAUAUGGAAAGAAAUGAACAUGCUUAAGCCACCAGGUUAUGUGGUUCCGAGUUGUAUAUGGAAGAUCAUGUUAUUAAGGCCUUGAGCUUUUAGAGUUGCCUGAAAAAUGCGAAACUAAUUAGUUCAAGACCAAAAUGGACGGCUGCAAUACAAUAGUUGUAGAUUGUAUGCAAUCACACCUGCGUUUCACCAGAUCGGACAGGCCAAAGUAUACAGCCUUCAAAUAUGAAUCUCUAUCCUUUUAUAUAAACAGAACGUUCAAAUCCAGAUAUUGAUAACACUUGAUGAAUACACAAAGGGAAAGAAAUGCACAGUAGCAACAACCAAAUGCUAGGAGAGAAAAUGCAACAGUGUUACAUAGAUGAACAUGUAAAAGAUUUUGCCAAACUUAAAUGUGUUAAGCUUAAAAACUUUUGAUCCAGCAGAGCUAGCAUAUAUAGUACAUUGUUCUGGAAGUUGUAAAAUAUUAUCUUGCAAAUGUUGUAUGGGAGAGUACACUCCCGCUCUAUAGCAAGUUGUUGGUGCCGAUUUUAGCACCAAUGGGUCAACGAGAGUUUCAUUGGAUUCCAACGUGUAAAGUGGUGGGGUUGUUCUCUUGUAGUGGACAUAUCUUCUCCUUCGGUUGGUUUGACCAUAUGCGUGGUCCUGGUCGUCUAUCUCCAGUGGUCUCAUUUCAAACUUCCUUAGCCUAAUGUUGAGCUUUCACGCUCCACAUACUUGAUGGGUUCACUUCAUCAACUCCUUUGGUUGACUUUCUCCACUCAUUUGGUGAACUUCCUUCGGCUGAUGUUGUGCCUUCACGCUCCACUUGAUGGUGGGCUUCAUCGUCGACUCUUUUGGUGGACUUCCUCCACUCCUUUGGUGGAUUCCCUCCACUCCUUUGGUGAACUUUCUUCGGCUGAUGUUGGGCUUUCACGCAUGUACCACUUCGUGGUAGACUUCCUCUCCUUGAAGAUGAGCUAGCUCCCUCCACUUCAUUGGUGAACUUCCUCCACUCCUUUGGUGGACUUCAUUAGGCUGAUGUUGAGCCUUCAUGCUCCACUUCGUAGUGGGCUUCAUCCACUUCUUUGGUGGGCUUCAUCCACUCCUUUGGUAGACUUUCUUCAGUUGAUGUUGAGCCUUCACGUACCACUUCGUGGUGGGAUUCCUUUCUUUGAAUGUAAGCUAGCUUCCUCCACUUCAUUGGUGGACUUCCUCCACUCCUUUGGUGGACUUCAUUCUGUUGAUGUUGAGCCUUCAUGCUCUACUUCAUGGUGGGCUUCAUCCAUUCCUUUCAUGGACUUCCUUCAAUUGAUAUUGAGCCUUCAAGCUCCAUGGGAAUUUCGUGGACUUCCUUCAAUUGAUAUUGAGCCUGCAAGCUCCAUGGGAAUGACCUGCAAAUAUGAAGCAAUAGAUGGUUAUCAGAGGACCAGCCUAAGGCUGGUCAAACACUCUCCAACGCCUAAGUCAUUGAAGUGUUUGAACAUUAAGUAGAGAUUGGAGAAGAAUGAAAUGUGCUCAAGCAACAUGAUAGUGUGAAAGAAUGUGAAGAUCGAGAUGAUCCUAGCAAUAGAGUAAGAACUAUGUAUUUUGGCAUGGGGCGAUGGACUCCUAGCACGCCAACAGAGAGAGAGAGAGAGAGAGAGAGAGAGAGAGAGAGAGAGAGAGAGAGAGAGAGAGAGAGAGAGAGAGAGAGAGAGAGAGAGAGAGAGAGAGAGAGAGAGAGAGAGAGAGAGAGAGAGAGAGAGAGACGAGAGUGAGAGAGAGAGAGAGAGAGAGAGAGAGAGAGAGAGAGAGAGAGAGAGAUUGUGUAGGCAUAAUUGGGAAAGAAGAGAGAAAAAAUGAAGUUUCUCCUUCAACCUUGAAAGGGUAGUAUUUAUAGAAGGAGAGAUUGGUAAGGUGGAAAAAGAGGUAUGGGCAAGGGAUGAGUAUGACAAACUGACACUCCAAGGGAUGGUCGAUCUGACAAAGUAGGUAACUGACCCCAUGUGAUCUGAUAGAGUUGGUGAAAGGUUAGGACACGUGUCGCGCGCAUGUACGACACAUUCUUCCUUGAAUCACUCUUAGACAUGCUUAGGAGACAUGCCUGGUGACGACUACUAGACGUCUUAGAAAGAGCUUGAGGGUUGAGGCUCUUAGGUCUUAGAGGUCAAACUCGUGGCCUUGGAAGUUUAGGCUCAUGGUUAAGUCAUGAUAUGUUAUAAUCUUAUCAUGCUGAGUAAAAGGUGAGGUAACCACUUGGUGAUAAUGUUGGUGAGCCGUGGCGUGGUUGGUUAAGGUGGUUAACUAAUAACUUUGACGUCAUGGGUUCAAACCUCAUUGAUAUAUGUAGGGUGUGUGAAUUAUUUAAUAAAAAGUUUAUAAAAAAAAACCACUUGGUGAUAGUCCAAGUUACUUGGUGACAUGCCAAGACGCUUGGUGAUAGUCCAAGAAAGACUUUGAAUGCUAAGUCAGACAUCUCACUAUUAUUUACGUGUGAGGAUCAUCUCUGUUUCUCGAAUAAAGAUUUGAGUGUGUUGAAAGGUUAGUUUCCUACGUGGCUCUUUGACAUUUUAACGUUUCCUACGCGGAAUGGGUUGAAAAUCAAGUUUUGUUGUCGAACCAAAUUAUUUCUUUGACAUUUCAACGCUUCAUACGCGGAAUGAGUUGAAAAGUCAAGUUUUGUUGUCGAACCAAAUUAUGACAUCAACACAAGUAAAUUGUGCAAUUGAAUUGUCGUCACUAAAUCUUAUAGGACAACUACAGAAGAAAGAAAGAAUGAAGAGAAUCUCCUUUAAGAAUAUAAAUACGACACAUCAUAUAUCCACUCCUAGGAAGAACUUCCAUCUGGUAUAUAUCAAAGACUUUCAGUGACAUUUUACAAACAAGGUUGUUUUCGCAACUACAUUUUCUCUAGCUAAAAUGCACGAAUAUACCAUAUGUAAAAAAUUGAGUACAUCAGAACAUAAGCUUAAAAGUUAAAACUUUAAGACAUACACAUUUGAGAAAUAUUGGACACAAAAAAUUAAAGAUCUUCAAGUAGCAAAAUCAAUUUAAUGUUAGUGAUGUUACACAUGUACAAAGGGAAAUCAACGACUAAAUAGAGUGGAUAUGCCUUACAUGUAAAAGUGACCUAGAUGUAGUGGCUCACCUGCUUCUCAAGUCUUCAAGGAAUGUUGGUAGUCACAUUCGGUUUGUAACAAGUCCCGAACUUAUAAUGAAUAUCAUUCGGAGUAAUUAUAAUUAUUACCUACUUGUUCGAUAUUUUAGUGAAAACUAAAAAGAACUCAAAAACAAUCUAAAUUCAAUAUUUAAGGGAAGACACAUGUAUGUGAAUUAUAACAAAUACCCCAAACUUGAAUUUUGGUUGUCUUCAAGAAAACUAACACCAAACCAAACCGACACAACAAUAUAAACAACACUACCUAAUCCUUCCAACAAGAUUCUUAAAGAACCACCAUAGUUAUACGACAUUAAAAUCAAGCUAGGUCUCAAAAUUUCAUGGAUUAUUGAUCAAAUGUUUGUGUUUUGAGAUGUGUACAAUGCAUCUACUAUGUCAUAUCAAUCUACCAAAAUCGAGAAUGUAUGUCAAGCCAUGUUAACCAUAAACUCACACGAUGUAGUCCUAAAAUUCUUCUGCGUUCUUUAUAUUUUUUGAUUUGUUCUUUCAAUUUCAAUAAUCCUUGAUUCCUAUCAUGGUAUUAGAGCCCAUGGUAUCUGAUCUGGUGCCUUGUGGCUUCUGUUUAUCUUCUUCCGCUUUCGCACUUUCGAUUUCUUCGAUUUAGUUUUUCCCAAAUUGAAAACCCUAGCCUAUAUUGAGCUUAGAUCAGAAAUUGAUCGUCACCGCCUAGCCGUCGGUCUUUUCUGGCCUCUCCGGUGUGACGCUCUAUGGAUCGGUUCGGCGUUCAUGUUCUCGAUGCAUCGUUGGUCUCUGCUUCUCUCUAAAAUUUGAAUAUAUUAUUUGAGUUUCUGUCACUGUGCGUAUGAGCUUCUGUGACGUCAUGGGGAUGUAGAGCAUAUGGAUUGGGUAUAUUGCAUAUAUCUUGUAUAUGGAUUAGAAGUGUCACUGAAACUCAGUUGUUGAGUAAGCAAAGUUAGAAUACCGUAGCCAACAAUGUCACCCAACUGGCCAGUAAGUUCAUUACAGCUCACCUGGUGAGUAAGCAAACUAAGAAUCUCAUAGCCGUCAAGGUUAUUGCAGUUCAAUUGGAAGACAAUCAUCCCGUGGUUCCAGACAUUAUUCACACUGUUGGUGCCCAAUUUGAACUAACAUUGCCACCUCUCACUGAAAAAGACCCUUGGAAAUGGCUCAAGCUGAUGAUGAUGGUUGUUCUUCUGUCAAUCAUUUUCCUGGUGGCGAAGUGCAUCUGGGGAUGGAUCCGUAGGCUUCUUAAUUAGAUAGUUUAUUGGUUCUUUGGUUUGCAACCAGUAGGAGCAGCAGGAGAAGCAGACAAUGUCCUCAUGCCUAGAUGGAAGUACUACAUCAAGGGGAUCUACAGCAUCCAAGGUCAAGGUGUCUGGAUGGAAGAACUUAUGCUGUAUAAGUGAGGCAAAUACCACAUCAGAGCAACCAGCAACAGACAAUGGCUUAUGGAACAAGGUCAUAAGAGUGUUUAAGAAUAACAAAACCAUUACAGUUUAGCAAUGAUACCAUGCAAAUUUUUUCUCCUCCAAAUGCAGAUAGCCUUAUGGAAUUGUCGAGGGAGUUCUCGUCCAGGUUUUCUAAGUCAAGGCCCUUUUUAACAGAACUUCUCUUGCUAUGGAUAUGUUUUGAUUUUUGGACACUAGAUUAGAUGAUUCUAGUGCUUUGUUUUUAACAGAACUUCUUUUGCUAUGGGUGUGUUUUGAUUUUUGGACACUAGAUUAGAUGAUUCUAGUGCUUUGUUCUAGGUUUCCUUUUAAAGGUCCUAGAGGGGGUGAAUAGGCAUUUUUUGAAUUUUCGUGGACUUAUGUAUCCGAGGAUAGCAAUGAUUUAUGUUAUCCCAGAUCCACAGGAUCCGAAUUUGCAGAAAGUAAAUUACAGCAAAUAAAGAAACAACACAAGGAUGUUUUUUACUCGCAGAAACCCUGAAUGCAGGGAGAAAAACUGCGUGUCUCUAACUCUUGAGAGACAAAACUUUCCAUUAAGUUGAAGUAACUUCUUACAAGAAUAAUAGUUCUAGUGAUACACUACCACAGUGCUAUCAUUCCUAGUCCCGAACUAGUCUAGACCUAUUCCCUCUCUUGUUUCUAAGCUCUAACAACAUGGAAUACUUUCAGAAGCCUUGUUCGUGAAUUCAGCUAACCACUAGCAGAUUCAACCUUGAACGCUUCUUGGGUUGGUUGCACUACACAUCCCUCAUGGUAUGCAACAUGAUAUGAGUUGAUGAAAGAAGUUUUGAGUUCAAGCUCUAAGGUUUACAUUCACGAAGAAGACUUAGAGCAACAUGAACAAUGCAAGCUUAAAACUAGACUCAACAAAGAAAACGCAAUAAGACAGUUUUCAACAACCAUUGAGCAAAGCCAAAGCUAUAGAUAUAUAUAGGCAGACAAGGCAUCAAAGAUGAUGCAAGCUAACCUCAAUAUGUUUUCAGAAAGGUUUGGACAUAAGUAUUUGGUUCCCAUACUGAAAGUGAUGUAACCAAAUGGAGAGUUGACACAAGCAACCUCAAUAAGACAAAGAUACCUUUCCUAAAACAUGAACGAUUCAAAACAAGGAGCAAAGAGGUUUCAAACCCUCUUACUCAGUCCAUUAGUGGACCUUGACACAGCCGAUAACGACUGGUCUUUGAAUCACACAGGGACUAGCUUUGUAUUGGAUAAUGUAUCAUAAAAUCCAAGUUGGAGCCUUGAGCAUCAAACCAUUUGGUCACGGGUUGGCAUAACAAAAGAUCUCAACCCUUAGGCUGGUUUGAGCGCCAAGGUGCUUCCCACCAACACAGUUGUCCAUUUGAAUUUGAAAAUCAACAAAGACCUAAUUAACUAAUAUAAUAGGUUAUUUGAAAAUCAGAACAGCAAAAGACUCAGUACAAUGAUAGCAAGCGAAGCUGCUAACCUUUGUGAAAAACAGUGAUAUGCAGAUGCAUGUUUUACUUGAAACUAUAAGGGAUGUUAGUAACACUUGUUCUUGUUCAGAUGCCAAUAUCUCAAGGUGUUUUGCAGGAUAAAGGACUGCCAACUAUCCUUAUAUAUACCUUCACCUUUUGUAAGUCUUUUGUGGUUGCUUCUAAUGGACAAUAUGGUGGUUUAUGUUUGCUUUAGAAUGAAUCUUCUUUUGCUUAAAAAAAAAAAAUAAAAAAAUAAAAAAACUCACAAGAUACUUACUCUAUUUUUUACAUUAGUGCUUAUGGGUUAACUACACUGCACUUCAAUCAUAUCUCCACUUAUCAAACAAAGACACAUUUUGAAUAAAAAAAAUUACUUUUAUUGGAUAUAAUGAGGCUUAGGGUAAGGGUUAAAGCAAUGAAAUGGCAUGGAAUGAAAUAAAAAAAUUUCAAACAACUUAAUACGCAAGACGAACUUAAGAUCUAAAGAUGCCAAUGAUUUUCAAAUUUUUAAACCACUCCCCCAAACUUCAAAGAAAACUAAAAUUGAAUUUCAAAUUUUUUUUUUUGAAGAUUGAUCUUUUUCCUGUCUCAUAUUUUUGUGCUCUCAGCAACUCCAAGAGAUGACCUUUGGAUGAAAGAGAUUUUUUUUUUCUUAACUUUUUUUUCUUCUCCUUUAUUCUUUUUGUAUUUUUCUCUUACAACUAUAAAGAAGACUAUGAAAUUGAAAUUGCAAUGAAGCAGUGAAAUUACACUCCUACACUUAUUCUUUUUCGAGUACCAUUAAACUUAUUUAUUUAGCAUUAUGACAUCAACAAUCUCGUGUUGCUAAUUAAGAAGUACACCCCUACGUACUUAUUCUUUUUCGAGUACCCACCAAACUUAUUUCUUUAGCAACAUGACAUCAACAAUCUAGUGUUGCUCAACAAUAUCAGAGUAAUUGUAAUUAUUAACUAGUUAAAUAUUUUAGGGAGAGCUAAAAUGAACUAAAAAACAAGCUAAAUUCAAUAUUUAGAGAAGACACAUAUAUGUAAAUUAUGGUAUAAAAAUACCUUAAACUUGAACUUUGUUUGUCUUCAAACAAACUAACAUCAAACCAAACUGACACAACAAUAUAAACAACAUUACUUAAUCUUUCUAACAAGAUUCUCAAAAAACCACCAUAAAUUAAAGCAUUGAAAUCAAGCUAAGUCUCAAAAUUUCAUGGAUCAUCAAAUAAAAACUUUACAAAAAAACAAAGCUUCAUAUCCCCAAACUUAAAUAUAACAUUGUUCACAAUGUUACAAUGGGGCUCUUAAAUGAUCAUCAAUGGAAAAUUUAAGCAUGGAUAAAGUAAAACUAAACAACACAACUAUGAAAACAAAUAACACAAAACACAGAAUGUGGCUCGGGAUGUAGUUUGAUAUAGAGAUGACAUAGUUAAUUUAAUACGGUUAAACAAAUGUGUUGAUAGUCUAAAGCCUUAGAAACGUCAGGAGGGGGGGGGGGGGGGGUUUGCAAAAAACCUUAAUAAUGUGUUAGGGGGUGAUGAUGAUGUUCCCGAUGAGUUUUGACUGAAGAUUACGUUUACUUGUCGAUUUCUUUUGAUCCUUGAAUGCGGAGAGUCAUUGGCAAUGAACCAAAUGUUGUUUCAAUGGGGACUAAGACGUCUGUCAGUGAAACCAUAACAGGAGAAGGGGGAAAUGAGUUGAGAAUCUACCACAAAUUCGGCCAUAGGAAUAAUAAGACAACCAAUCAAAACAAGUGGUAUUUGAAUUUGUGUUACAGGGUAAAUCAAAAUUGGGCGGUAGUGAGAUUCUACGAAGAUAGCAGAGGUUUUGAUUAUACACCCCCCGCAGUGCCGGUCGUUCAGCCUCUCCAAAUUCAACAUAGCGAGCAAUUUGUAACUCAUACUGUUUUGCAGGCCCGGGCAAAUAACAACCUACCUUGAUUGGAAUGAUUUGAUAGAUGUAAUCGAAAAUCUUUAUUUUUCAAGAAAAUUAUGGAUUUGUAAUUUGAGACUUUGUCAAGAAUAUUGGAUGAUAUAUGUAAUUUGGAUGAUCCAAGUAUUAGAUGGUUUUCAUAAUCCUAUUAAGCCAUCUAACCUUAAGUUUUGGAACUAGUAGAAAAAAAAAGGCUUAAGCGACGGGUACUUUCAUAUUUCGUCGCUUAAACAGUUCCUAAACAAUGAAAAACGAUUAUCAUUGCUCAAAAUACAUUUUCGGUUGCUACAAUUUUCUGGGGCGACAAAAUGUUUUUGUCGCCUAAACUUCGUCGCCAUAGGUCCUACUAAGGCAACAACAAGGAUUUUGUCAUAAAUUAUUUAUGUAGCGACGAAAAUGUUAACACUUAAGCUGCGAAAAAGUUUGUCGCAUGAUAUCCUUAACCUAACUGACAAAUUUAUGUUUCGUCGCUUCACUUUUGAGCGAUAAAAAUGUUUGUCGCAUGAUAUCCUUCACCUAACUGAUAAAUUGACUUUUCGUCGUCUUAGGUUAACACUAAAGCGACGAAACGUUUGACUUUAUAGCGACGAAAUUGUUUGUCGCAUGAUAUCCUUCAACUAACCGACGAAUUGACUUUCAUCGUCGUAGGUUAAGACUAAAGCGAUGGAACUUUAAGUUUAGAGCGAUGAAAGUGUUUGUCGCAUGUUAUCUUUCGCCUAAGCGACGGAACCUUUUGACUUUAGCAACAAAAUAUCUGCACAGAUCAAUCUCGCAAAUCUCUGGCUUAUUGCAUACAAAGUAGUGAAAUUACACCCCUACAUUUAUUCUUUUGUGGGUACUAUCAAAUUUAUUUAUUUAGCAUUAUGACAUUAACAAUCUCGUGUUGCUUAUUAAGAAGUACACCCCUACGUACUUAUUCUUUUUCGAGUACCCACCAAACUUAUUUCUUUAGCAACAUGACAUCAACAAUCUUGUGUUGCUCAACAAUAUCGGAGUAAUUGUAAUUAUUAACUAGUUAGAUAUUUUAGGGAAAGCUAAAAUGAACUAAAAAACAAGCUAAAUUCAACAUUUAGAGAAGACACAUAUAUGUAAAUUAUGGUAUAAAAAUACCUUAAACUUGAACUUUGUUUGUCUUCAAACAAACUAACAUCAAACCAAACUGACACAACAAUAUAAACAACAUUACUUACUCUUUCUAACAAGAUUCUCAAAAAACCACCAUAAGUUAGAGCAUUGAAAUCAAGCUAAGUCUCAAAAUUUCAUGGAUCAUCAAAUAAAACUUUACAAAGAAACACGGAAUGUUACAAAUGUUCACAAACUUAAAUAUAACAUUGUUCACAAUGUUACAAUGUGGCUCUUAAAUGAUCAUCAAUGAAAAAUUUAAGCAUGGAUAAAGUAAAACUAAACAACACAACUAUGAAAACAAAUAACAUAAACACGGAAUGUGGCUCUGGAUGUAGUUUGAUAUAGAGAUGACAUAGUUAAUUUGAUACGGUUAAACAAAUGUGUUGAUAGUCUAAAGCCUUGGAAACGUUAGAGGGGUUUGGUCAAAAAAAUUAAUCUUAAUAAUGUGUUUGGGGGGUGGUGAUGAUGUUCCUGAUGAGUUUUGACAGAAGGCCAUGUUUACUUGUCGAUUUCUUUUGAUCCUUGAAUGCGGAGAGAGAGAGAGAGAGAGAGAGAGAGAGAGAGAGAGAGAGAGAGAGAGAGAGAGAGAGAGAGAGAGAGAGAGAGAGAGAAGAGGAUAAUAUUCAUCUUUUGUGGAGGCAGACAUGGUAGUAAUGGUAGUACUGCGAUUUUUAUAAACAAUUCGAAGGGGAAUAAAUUAAGGAAUAAAUAUUCGAAUGAAAAUAAACUUUUACGAUACAUUGAUGUAUUUAUGUAGAUUACAUCAAUAUUUUGAUUUGUUACAUAGAUUUAGCUCGGAAUAUAGUUUGAUGUUGAGUUAGAAUAGUUAAUUUGAUACAGUUAAACAUAUGAUGUAAAAAAUGGAUUAUCUUAUUCUACUUGGUUUGGAUGACUUGACAUUUUCAAUCCAAUGUCAAUGAGUGUGACGGAAGACCCUUUUUAGAAUAAAAUUUUGUCUUGUUCAUGAUGGUUUCUUUUGGGCCUUUUUUUCUCUCUCAUCUCAUCUCAUCUUAUUUUCUUUUAUAUAUCUUUACACGUCUCCUAUCUUUUUAUUAGUUAGCCUUUUAUCCUUGCAUUAACACGGAAGUAGAAACAUCUAGCAAGUGUGGGUGAUUAAUUUUGGUUUGAUAUUGAUUUUUUUAUAUUUAGAAUAAUCAGCUCAUUACUUAGUUUAUAUAUCCCACUACAAUGUCACUAUUAAACUUUAGUAUAUGUUUUCUAAAAAUUAAUGUUGUUUUACAAGAAUCUGGAUGAACUAUAUACAUAAAGUUUUUACUAUCUUCCUUACUUGCACAUAUCAAACAUUCUCGAUCUUUCUUAAUGAUACUGUCAACCCAUGAAAAUGCAAGUUUUUGAUAGUUAGGUAUGAAAAAUAAAAAUAGCAUCAUAGUUCGGAUGGUGUUUUAUAAUUGAUCCUUAAUGAUAAGAGAGUCACAAACAUUGGAAUCGUUAGUCUAACAACCUCAUAGACAUCAGUCUCCACAAAAAUAGGCAGAAUUCUUAUGUCUUGAGCAAUUGAAGACUAACCUCUAACUCAUCUAAUAAAGCGGAAACAAACAUUCAAUCUAAAACAUGUCCAUGCCACUAUAUGAUCAUCCGAGUCCUCCAAAAAAUCUUUAUCAUCAUUAGCCUCAGCCACUGGUAUACCCCCAGUUUUGAACUUAACCGGAAUCUCAUUAUACUUUAGAUGACUAUAUUUAUACAUCUAUCAAUGUCAACGCAUACGAAUAACGAAUUUCUAAGAACAACUUGAAACCAAAUUUGAAUUUGCUUUGUAGAUUGACAAAAGUUGUUUUCUGAGUUUCUCUUUCCUUGACUAAAAUCUAUUUAUAGUUAUUAAAAUAUUAUUGUUUGUUCUUCUCAAUGAUCAAUUCAAUCAACAACUUGUGUUAGCAAACUUGCAGGUGAUCCUUUCUUCUUCUCUUUUUGGUUAUAUAUUCUACUAAACUUCACAAGUGUAUGUCUACCAACAACUAUAUGGAUCGAGGAAAUAAGAUUGAGUUAUGGAAAAUGCUAGGAAUAGAGGAUUGAAGAGUGAGAGAUUAAAAGUUUUAUAGCUAGACAUGGACGACGAGCACGAGUGAGUUCUUGACAAUGUUGAAUGGUUCUCAUUGGGUAGAUCAACUUUUUUUCAUAGUUCACGUCUGUUAAUCUCCAAAAAAAUUAAAAACACUUACAUUCGUUUUCAAUAAUUAUACGGAAGAUCGGAGUUAUAUCUUAAAAAUUGUCUAUUAUGUUUUCAAGAUUUAAGUUUUCGAACUCGUAUAUAUUAUAUGAGAAAUUUUAAAUACAUACCCCUUGCUUAAUACACCCCUCAUCUAGUUUUUCAUUUCAAAAUUAAACUUAAUACACAUCUCAAACUGCCUAUAAUACCUUUAUAUCUAAAACUAAGAAAUAAUAUGUUAUUUAGUAUAAUUAUUAUAAAUUUACUAUAUAUUUUGGUAACUCUUUUAUGUAUUUUUUUCUAUUUUCUACUAGAAAUUUUUUAUUUACAUCGUCAAAUUUAUAAUCAAAAGACUAUUAUUACACAAACUCCAAAUCUCCGAUGCGACAUCAAUCAUUUGGAAUUCAAAAAAAAUAUCAACCAUUUCAAGUUUUCGAAAUUCACAGGCUAGUAGAAGUACACUAGGUCCCUAGCUAUUAAACAUAUAUACCUACUUUUUUCAAUACAACAUGUCAAAAUGAACAUGUAGUACUUCAAAAUGGUCUGCAAGAUCAAACUAAUACAAAAAAAAGAACUAAUUUCAGUUUACCCCCAUCAACUUUAGGUCGAUCAUCAUGUUAGUCCUUCUUUUUCAAUUUCAUCAAAAACACCCCUUAACUUCCAAUUUUCAUCAGCCGCGCAUGUCCAAACCUCUAAUCUCUAUCCAAUUCCUUUGUCAAGUGAUGACUUGAUAUCAAUAAGAAAGAAAAAAGGAAAAAUAGACAAAUUGCAUUCAAUCCCACUAAAAUCACUAAGGUUAGGGGGUUGUGAUGGGAACGAAGAUGUGUAUCGAUAUGGGGGAAAAAUGGUCUGAAAAGUAACUUUCAGAAUUUGACUUUCUUCUUGAUAUCAAGUCAUCACUUGACAUAGGAAUUGGAUGGAUAUUGGAGGUUUGGACAUGCGCGGCUGAUGAAAAUUAGAAGUUGAGGGGUGUUUUUGAUGAAAUUGAAAGAAGAAUGACUAACAUGAUAAUUGAUCUAAAGUUGAUGGGGGUAAACUGAAAUUAGUCCAAAAAGAAAAAGAAAAAAAGAGACAGAACCCAAAUGAACCGAUGUUAAUUGAAUGAUACAUGUGGUAGCACUCGAAAUUCGGGUCAUGAAUUCUAAAAGUAGUUUUUUUUUGGUUGCGUAUGAAACUAUGAAUUGUGGAGAAGAGUCAAGUUUAGGGAAGAAGUAGUUGUUUCAAUGGUCUUAGGGUAGGAGAUUAGAUUUCUAAUUGUGAUUUCCUUUUCUUUUUUAAUAAUAGAUGUCUGUUUUAGUCAUUAAACAUGCAUAAAAUAUUUGAUGUGAAACAUAAAUUAAUACGAGUGUGUAUUAAGAGAUUAGGGGUGUGUAUUUAAAAGGAGAAAUUAUUGGUCACUCCAUUAGCUUUCAUGCGCUCGACAGUUUACUCCAUUAACUUUCAAUUUCAAUCGAUUACUCCAUUAACUAUCCAAUGUCACACAAUUUGGUCCAUCCGUUAAGUCGCCGUCCAAAUCAGUGGUUAAGUUGCUGACUGGACAUAUUUUUCAACUGAAAAUUCCAUUUAACACCCCACCUNNNNNNNNNNNNNNNNNNNNUAUAAUAGGCUUUGGUUCAUAAACUUUUGUUGGAUUUGAGUGAGUGGAAAGUGAAGCCAAAACCACAGCUUACUUACUGUUUGGGAAGCCAUGGCUGGCCAAAGAGAGAGAGAGAGAGAGGUGGGGUGUUAAAUGGAAUUUCCAGUUGAAAAAUAUGUCCAGUCAGCAACUUAACCACUGAUUUGGACGGCGACUUAACGGAUGGACCAAAUUGUGUGACAUUGGAUAGUUAAUGGAGUAAUCGAUUGAAAUUGAAAGUUAAUGGAGUAAACUGUCGAGUGCAUGAAAGUUAAUGGAGUGACCAGUAAUUAAUUCUAUUUAAAAUUACUUGUAUUAUAUUGAUCUUGGUUUCAUAAUACAGAAAACAGUUUUGUAAUCAUGUAUCGAACAUGCCCUAAAUAAUAGGAAACAUCUUUGAUUUUCUUCUUUGAACAAGUUGCCUACACAUAUUAGACAUAGAAUCUAAGGUGUGGAAUGUUUGAGCCUCUGUCAUAUCUUUCUUAUAUGAUGCAGUGCAAAGGGGUUAACUCAUUUGGAAUUUCAAGGAGUCCAUAUUUAAGUUUAAUUAAUAUUAUUAUUUCAAAAUAUGUCUAUUUACUAAACUUGUUGAAUGAGUAUGAUUUAAUGUGGGAUUGGAAAGUGGGUAUUCUAGAAUGUAUUAGAAGAAAAGGGGGAUUAUGCAUUGUAUUAGUAUUUACUAGAGGGUUGAGUUAGCUCUUUAAAAGGGACAUCCAUGUAUGAGAAAUAUAGACUUUGUUUAUGAAUAUUUCUAUUAAGAAAAAUAGAGCUUUACUCUUUUUAUCAAUCUCAUUUCUUUAUAUGUGUCGUUGUUCUAGUUAUCAUCCUCUACUGAUCCGUUCCCGCAUCAUUUGGUACUAGAGCCACGCUACGCUCUUUGGGUUGCUUCCACUAAUCUCAUGGCGGUAAGAAGAGGUGGAGGAAAGCGUGGAAACCAUAUGAAAGAUGAGAAAUCAAUAGGUGAAGAACUUCAUGCACUUCGAAGAAAAGUUGAGAGAAUUGCCUUGCUAAUUGAAUGCCUAGAAGCUCGUAAGAAGCAUGGUGGAUCAAGAAGCGGGUAUCCUUAUCAUGAGACCAAGACAGAGAUACGAUCAAAUCAUCGACGUCGUCCAUCUCAAAGGUCUAAGAAUCACUUGUGGAAGGUUGGAUCAUCAAGAUUUCAAGAAUGGCUUGAAGUUGCAAGAGGCACUUAUGCAAAGGAAUGCGAGGUUGAAGAUGUUGAAGAUCUUGAGAUGGAGGUCAAAGAAUUCAAUAGGGAUUCAAAUAUGAAGGUAUGUCAUUUGUUUCCUUUUGAGUUAGAGAUUGAGCAUGGAGAUAAUAUUGAAGUAGAUUGAAAUUCACCACCCAUCUAUGAUGCAUAUCUUGAUGUUGAAUCUUUUGACCCAACAAAAGAAAAUAUUGAUGAAUCUCUUCAUGACAACAAUUUUGGUGAUACAUGCCUAAUUGGAGACCAAGAGUUUGAGUUUUCGAAAGAAGUACUUGCAUGCUCAGAUGAAUUACUUGAACCUAGUGAUUUGGAUGACAAAGUUUUAUUUAAUGAACAAGGUAAGAGUCAUGGUGCAUUUUUGGUUUAUGAAAAUGGUGGUGUAGAUUUGGAAACUAAAGUUGGGUUUUCACAUGCCUCACAAUGCUCCAUUAGAUUUGAAUUUCACUACCAUGAUCCUUUUUGGGAUGAUUUCAUGAAAGCUUAGAUCAAUACCAAGUCAAGAACAAAGAAUGAGUUAUUGCAAGUGUUGGAGCUUAAUGCAUGUAAUAUUUGUGCAUCAGAAAAACUUCUUCAAAGGAUUGAGUUGUGCGCCUCUUUUGUCGAGAUGCUACUUGUCAGCAUCACGAAGGAAACAAAGAGAAGCAAGAAGAUAGGGUGGUGACAUUAUGAACUUUUUGAUGAAUUUGAUUUCAAGCAUGCGAACUUAUGGACUAGUUCUUUCUCACCCCAGGGAGAAUGAUGCAAUGCAAAAGGGGGAUUAACUCAUUUGGAAUUUCAAGGAGUCCAUAUUUAACUUUAAUUAAUAGUUAUUAUUUCAAAAUAUGUCUAUUUAGUAGACUUGUUGAAUGAGUAUGAUUUAAUGUGUGAUUGGGAAGUGGGUAUUCUAGAAUGUAUUAGAAGAAAAUGGGGAUUAUGCAUUGUAUUAACAUUUAUUAGAGGGUUGGGUUAGCUCUUUAAAAGGAACAUCCAUGUAUGAGAAAGAUAGACUUUGUUUAUGAAUAUUUCUAUUAAGAAAAAUAGAGCUUUGCUCUCUUUAUCAAUCUCAUUUCUUUAGAUGUGUCUAUCUUGUUCUAGUUAUCAACCUCUACCGAUCCGUUCUCGCAUCAUUAUAAUAUGCAGACUCCAAUUAUAAAGUAAGAAGUUCAUCUUGCAUAAAAUCUUGAGAAUAAAAGCUCUUAGUAUGAGGUGGUGCAACUCGUUGGAGCUAUCUCAGAUCACGAGACCAUUAAACAUUGGGUAUAGAUAUAAUUAAUGACUACACGUGUGUUAUAUGAAGGUUGCAGAGAAUCAAAUGCAUGUGGCAAGGUUCUUUCGUGCAACCAAUAAAACCAAUGAGUAUUGCAACCCCAUUAUUAUGGCUGCUUUCAAACCUUUGAUUAUUAUUUACCUAUUAUUGAAGAUGUUUGACCCAUUAUACAAGUGUUUAUCCCGAACGUACCUUUCCAUUUGUUUGGGAUCCAAUUUAAUCAUCUUUUAGACACCGUUUAAUCUGGUUAUUCUAGAUACCGUUUAAUCUUUUAUUCUGGACAUUGGUAACUUCCCGGGGUUGUUGGUGUUCACCUUAGUCACCGGAGUUUUGUCUUUCUUUUUUGUUGAACUCGUGUUUUCUGCAAUUUGUUCUUCGGCUUUCUCUUCGCUUCCAGUUCGGUUUAGGGUUUAAGGAUCUUCUGUUUUUUUUUUAAAUUCCAAUUCGUACUCCUGUGUUUAGUUCCAUUUUGUUCUCUUCCUUAGUUCUUUAGUUAUUUGGUUUUCUAUUCAAUUGCUUUUGUUUGCUUCACUAUUGUAAACCUUGGGUCAGGCCUUUGUUAUGGCUAUGUUAUAUUCCUAGGUCUUGAGCCUUCUUUAAUGAAGUGGUUGUUUGACCCAAAAACAUCUAAAAACACAAGAUCGACCAAUAUUGUAGUAGAUCCAUUUGUAUUAUUGUAUACAUCAAUAAUGUUAGUACCGUAACAGUACAACAUCUAUAAACAACUUAUCAUCAUAUCAUCAUAUGACAAUUUUUUUCCAGUUCUUAUAUUUUAUUUGUAUUAUUGUAUAAAUCACAUGGAUUUAAUAACUUCAUGUUGGAUAGUACUACAAUAGCUUUAUCACUAUGAAUCCAAGUACUCGGGUUUCAAUAAUCAAUUGACUAGAAAAAAAAAACUCAUUUAAUAUAAAGCGAACACAAACUUUCAAAUCUCCAACAAACUUUCAAAUCUCCAGCAAACUUCAUAAGCACCCUCCUAUCUAAUUAGAUUCUAAAAGUUUUGAUUUUGAUUUUUAGGCAGUCACUUGGGAAAGUGGGGACUGAGGAGACGGGCUAAGGGCGACAAGCUCCGGGCCUCCGACCGACGGGCAACAGCUGCACGGUGCAAGCGACAGGGGAAGUAAGGAUUGAGAUUGAAGAGGAAGGUGUGAGAUUGAAGAGGAAGAAUUACGGAACUAGGGACCUAGCUAGGAUAGACUGAUGUGUUUUAAAAUGUUACUCGCAAGCGCACGAAUCAGUUGCAGCACAAAUAUGCAAGAGCGAGAUUGAACCCACAGGGAAUGUAUGAAAAUAGGAAAAACUAAUCGAAUCCAAAUUAAUUUAACACCAACGUAGUUGAAUGAAAGUUGAUGGUGAAGUAGCUAAAACAAAUAAAAUAGAUAAAAGUUACAUUGAUGACGAAGUAACUAAGGCAUCGGAUUUCACCACAUUACUCAAUAAGAUAUAUUACUUACCAAUUCCCGAAUUAUGAGUAGCAAUCUAGAAAUCAAUAUAUUGCUUUAUCAAGAUUUAACAAUGAAACACAUAUGAAAUUUAUCUAAAGUAGACUCUUCUUCGCUUCUUAAUUAUGAACACCAAAGCAUCACAUGUACACAAAUUUAUUGAAACUACAAAAGAUCAAAGUGUUUACAAAGCAUCAAAUGUGAAACAAGCCCAUUUGAAUGACAAUAGACCAAAGGAUUUCAUUUUAAAUAUUUUACAAAGCGAAGCAUGGAUUAAUAAAAGUGAUUUCCAAACUACCAAAAAUGCAUGACAUUAAAGGUGAAAGGAACAAAAAUCUUAUUAAUGCAUUUUGAAGCAAGAGUCAUAGACAUGAAUAACAUAAUUAUGGGAAUCGACAGAUAAUUAAGAGAAACUUAUUUUAUAAUGUGGUUUCCUCCUUAACUUUAGUUAAGGAAAUUAGCAACACAUAGUACAAAUUGAAAACAUGUUUAAAACAAUACAAAACAUCAUAGGAAAAAUAGCUAAAGAAAGGGAAGAACAAAAGCAACAAUAUGUCUCUCAAUCUCCACUCUCUCCCCCCUCUCCUUAUUCUCUUGAAAACAAGCUCUAUUUAUAGAGCAACAUUGAGCUUCAUUACAACUUCAUCUCCAUGUGAAAAUAACUUUCCUUCUUCAAACUUCUCAUGCUUGAUGACAACAUAUUUCUUCACCCAUAAAUGUUUUCAUACAUCACUUUCUCUUCAUCUACAACAUCAUUUGCUUCUCUCAUUUUUCAUGUACAAGAGUACGUAGACAAACUUUGAAGAAUUAGAAGUGAGCUCCUAGAUUCAUACAAGUUUGUUCCAUGCAAUCUUGUCUUUGGAAAUUUUUCAUGCACUUUUCCAUUUGUAUCAAUGCAUAUCUACGUACCUAUGAAUCAAAUGAGUAAAGUGAAUUCAACAAUUGAAAGCUAAGGUAUAUAUUUUCAAUACAACACACAUAAUGCAAUGGGAAAGCAUUCCACCAAUAGGCACAUGCUAUUAGAACAAUGAAAACAUAUGUUACACUUAGUUAUUUAAUUAAAGGGAAAAAAGACUCAUGUUUAAAACAAUGACUCAAUUUACUAUAAAAAUAGAUAAAUUGCUUCAUAACUUUAACAUUUCAUUUAUUUAGACAUAACAUCUAUAAGAACACAAAAACAAACUAAAUAACUCAAACUAAUUAAAACAAGUAACUAACAUAUAUAAAUCAGGGAUAAUAAUAUGAUAUAAAAUGUGCUCAUCAUAGACGACUAGACGGGGAAGUAGGAUGCAACCUUAACAUGGAACGACAUCAUUUACAUAUAUAUAUAUAUAGACACACACACACACACAGAGGAAGGAUUGAGAGCGAACGUCCGCGCUUUAAAAUGCAGACAAUCCACUUGUGAGCACUUUAUUGGUUGGUACAAUCGUUCAACAAGUCGACCUAAUUUCAGCUAUAUACGUGGGUCCCAUCGACAACAUCUUCUCUAAUUUCCCUUCAAGUGUUAACUAUCACCACAAUCUCCCACCGCAGUUUCAUCACCAUACUUCUACUUGGAUUGACUAUGAUUUCUAUGAAUCAAUCCAAAAGAAACAAAAAUGAAAGCUUCACAUCAUUAAUUGAUCGCUUUACAUCAUUGAUCAACUGUUAGAGCUUUUCAUUGAUUUAUAAUCUCAAACCCACAACAGAAACCCAGAUGCUAGAUCCAACCAGGUAACCAUGAAUUAAUGCAAACUAUCAAAUAAAAAAAUCAUAUUUUCAAUACAUCAGUGCCAAACAAAACAUCUAGUGCAAGUCAUCCUCUUCGUCCCAUCUCAAUCUUCUGCCAAUCUACCUUAUCAUCUACGUGGCUUUCAUUUACCCUAGCUAGCCAUGGCUUUGCCGGAGUUGGACGACGAUGGGUCACUGAAUCUGCCCAAUAAAAUUAAAAAGAUACCCAACAAACUAGAAAUAAGAAGAGCAAAAACAUGUCGAUUGAAUGAAGAGUUUGGAUUUGGAGGCAGAAAAUGAAACGGGUCGGAGAAUGAUCCUAACCCAUCUUGUUAUAAUAGUUAGUUCCUAAUGAGCAUAUAGACAAGUUAAUAUUGUGGCUUUGAUUCUGGUUUUGUCAAUUGAAUGUUUUCUGGCAGAACGAUUGAUUAGGGAAGUAGCGAAGGAUUUUGGGUAUGCAGCUUUUGAAGAGAAAACACAAAGGCCAGAAGAUUAGAGAAGAUGAUGUCGGUGGGACCUGCGUAUAUAGCUGAGAUUAGGUCGACUUGUUGAACGAUUGUACCAACCAAUAGAGUACUCACACGUGGAUUGUCCGCAUUUUAACAAAAGCACGAACGUUCACUCUCAAUCCUUGUAUAUAUAUAUGAUGUGAUGUAGUUUUUUUUUUUUUUUUUUAGGCUUCAAAUUCUCACCUUGGCUCUAGUCCGGUCAAACCUAAAGCUGACUUCACCUCUAGACGUGGAUAUCAGGCUUCGCCGCCUGAGCAUAAGAAGAAAGCAAUAGUAUUUGGUUUUGUUUUAUUCAAGAAAAAGAACAACACUUUCUCUAGCUGAAAUGUAGUAUAUGCAAAAUUUCAACCGCUAUUUCCUAAUAUAAUCUGCUACACAUAGCCACAAAGUAUUACUUGAUUGAGUAGCUCAUGUCAUAAGCUUACACAAGCAAGACAUACACGCUUGAGAAAUAUUAGAGAAGAAAUUUGUUCAAGUAACAAAAUGGAUUUCAUGUUUUUUUUUUUUAAAUGUAAAUCGUUAUAUGUACAAAAUGAAGUAAAUGACUAUAUAGAAUGGCUCACCUGCUUCUCAUGCCCUACAUAUGUACAAAAUGAACUUCAGCUUUGGAAUGAAAUUUACCCCACCCCAAGGAGAGUGAAACGAAAACAGAUCUGAGAGUUUUGUCUCCUCCCCUUUCUCUCUUGCCCAGAUCUAGAUCUAUCUGGGUCUCGAUCGAAGGCUGAGAGUUGGGGGUGGAUCUUACAUCUCCUUCUUCUAGCUUCCUUAGUAAUCUUCUCACCCUUUUGUAGUAUUAUUUUACCCGUUUUGUGGUGAUUUUCUGGUUGAUGUCUAGAUCGGGAGGAUUUUGUUCCUCAAAUUGUCUUUUCAGUUUUUCUCAUUGUCAUCCAAUCUCAUAUGCUUCAAGAUCUAAGAUUACUCAACCCCUCAAUAGAUCAACUCUCUCUACUCAUUACCUCUAAGAAGAUGUCUAUGGUUGCAAGUAUAAAGUGCAAGUCACUUACCCACGCGAUUAUGGGUGCUCACGCAUGGGUUUUACACCCCCCCAUUCUCCAUCGGUCUCGUUCUUGUUCUCGUUCUAUGUUAUGGUUCUUGGUUACAACUUGGUAGCCAUGUUUCUUUCUUGAGAAGUGUUGUUAUGGUGGAAGGAUUGGUGUUGUUUUGUGGGAUCUCCUCUCUUUGGAGGCUGAGUGUUUUAUGGUCUGUGGUUUAGGAUUUGGCUGGCAACGGAACAUCAACUUGCUCAUCCAUGCAUGUCGUUCUGCCUCCGGUGGUUGAUCAAUGGCUUUAUAGAUCGGUAGCGACUGCGACGGCGACGGCGACGGCGACGGAAGAGGCAGCAGCUAGGGUUUGCUUGGGUGGCCGCUGGUUUAGCUUUGAUGUGUUUUGUGUAAUUUUAUUUUUAUCUUUAGGGUUACCAUUUUUACCUUUUCAUGUGGAUUGGGUUGAGUGGUAACUUCCCUAAUGUUUAUCUGUACUUGGGCCUUAUUUGGGCUCUUCCAUUGGACUUUCCCCUUUGGUAAUCAUUAAUAAAACUUUUCAUUAAUUCCAAAAAAAAAAUGUACAAAUUUAAGUAGAUGUAGUGGCUUGCAUGCUUCUCAUACCUUAAAGGUCACAUUCGAUUUGUAACAGGUCGCGAAUUUACAAUGGAUUUCACUCGGAGCAAUUAUAAUUAUGAAAAAUUGUAACAAUUUUCUUUUUUAGAAUGAAUUAAAAGCAACUUAAAAGGAAAAAAAUGGUGGAAUAAAUGUAAAAAGGUGACAUGAUGUCAUAUUGUAAGGCUUG
rnacentral:lncRNA from 1 species